ensembl:lncRNA
CUUUUCUUCCACUCUCUAUGCCUAAAUGCAUAAUAGUACGCAGGGCCAUUUGUCUUUUUAGCGGAGACAGACCCUUUGGGACAAAACUCCCCAAGCCAAGCUAACCCUGAAAGCCCCACAUCCCUGUCCCUUUACCCUUCUCCUGGCCUCUUAUUUCUACUUCGAAGUCUUUUUCCUUAACUUGAACCCAAACGCCGCCGAGGACAGAGGAGCCCUACUUGAAGAGCCAGGAUUUCAUUACCAAAGGAAAAUGGAGCUAGUUUCUUUUUUAGACUCCUGCAGAUUCGGGGAGGUAUGAAUAGAAGUGAUGUGUAGAGAGGCCAAUUUGAUGUGAGCUCUUGAGACUUGUCUCAGGAAUGAAAAUGGACUCACCUCUGCCUCCCUGUUUAACAUUUUCGUUUGCCUGGGAGUAGGUUGGUGAGGAGACGGGUGGCAUAGAAACAUGGGUGAGAGGAAAGAGAUGCUCUGAAUUUUUUCAACUCCUCUGUCAUCCUUUUUCCCAGAAUUUUUGAGGGGGAACCCAGGUUACGAAUGAUUAAUUCUUCAUUUCAGCCCCAGAGUGCCCUCUCGCCCCAACUUCUCCCAGCAUGAAAGUGGUAGGAAGUUCCCAGCAGCGAGGAAUGGGAAGCUGUAGAGCAGCUGGAGGCCCUCUGGUCAAACUGGACGCUCCUGAGAUAACCUCGCUCACAAGAGGUUUAGAAGCCCAAGCACCGGUAAACCAGUGCUCUGGGACCCGCAAACCUUUGGGGGUCACAGGAUACUCCAUUCCUCCCACUCUCCACCUUUCUCCUCUGGGUAACUGUCCUGAGAUUUCCCCGGAAGAUGCCUAGCUACACCGACUUGAGUGCCCUGAAUUGAUUGGGAGAGCUACGUACAGUCUGGCCAGGGGGUGUCACACCCUGAACCUCCAUCCGAGGCCCUCUGGGCUUCCAGAAAAAUGAAGGUCACGGAGGGAGAACUAAGAUUCCUACCCUCUUUCUUUUUCCCACCACGAUGGUGCAAAGACUCAGGCCUGGAAGGAUCGCGUUCUGAACCGUCCAUAGGCAAAGCCAGCGAUUUAACUAAAGCCAGCUGGGGAAACUGAGGAGCAACCGAGGUGGAGCAUGCUGACUGCUAACAACCUGCUGAGCCUUUUUGGUGUACCAACACCACCUGGAGUCAUCGUGUUUGCAUCCUAUACAUACCCUGCAGCAGCUCUGUCACAAGACAUGCUUAUCAAACUCACCCAUGAAAAGAGAUUCAGAAGAAUUUCAGGAUCCAUUCUUGAGAUCAUAUCACUGUUGUGUAACAGUUUCUUCAAGAUUGAAACAUCCUAUCUGACAGGGAAGUUCCUUAAACAGGAAGGUGAACAACUCAAAAUAGCUUCAGGAAGUCCCUGAAGCUGACCUGAUUCACUAGGCUCCACUCCCAGAGAGUAAGCAAUAAGAGUGGUGCAUCUGAGCUGCAGAGAAGACUGAGACCAAACCAGCUGCCUGGGGGAAGCAGAAACCAGUAAAGCUGCCUGGAAGAGAGACCAGAGUCACUUGGAAAGAAGCUCUCCAACCUGUUGAGCUGCCUGAAGGCUGUGCAGUGUGCUAUAGGUUCCCAGCUUUGUGAGCUGUCAUUUGUUUUAGGGUGGGCUUUGGUUAUGCAGUUGUCUGUGAGUCAUUUCUGCUUGUGUAAGUAACCCCUCACCCAUAUUCCGGUCAGUAACUCUUCACCCAUACUUCUAUAAGGAAUCCCAAUAAAACUCAUUGGUUGACCAAGUUGGACUUUGUUGGUAUUUAUACUUUGGUCUGUCAUGGGAUCCCUAUCUGGGGUGAGUAGAUGUGUGUGGUGUUUCCUCAGGAAAAGUUUUGUCACAUAACAAUCAUCCCAACUGGCAGGAACAGGACUUAACAGUCAAGUCCUCCAAACACAGAACAAGCCAGCCUUCCUAUGCUCACAUCCUGGCUCUCUCCUUGCUAUCUGUUUCACUUUGUAUUUAGUUUCUUUGUCUGUAAAAUGGGCUAAUAAUAAAAGCUGC